GGUAGAGGGGCACGGGCGUCAGCCAAGGAAAACUCUGCGUGCACUUUAAUCACGUUGUUGGGGCGUAAAUCUGUUCAUAACGUCACAUCAUGGAGACUGGGCUCGUGCUUAGAGGGGGGAAAAAACCCUGCACCCCGCAGGGUGAUCUUAUGGUUCAGACUUGCGCCUGGGUUCAUGUAAGGUUCUGGGUACGGCACGUUGUGGUUAUGGUUAUAAAGGUUGACGCCGGCGGCCAUUCUGCAUUUUUCUAACUGUCGUGUGCUCAACUCAAACAGGAGUGGGUUGUACAUUUGUUGAGGCAUGUUUUUUAAAUGAUGACUCAAUAAACUACAGUCUCCACGUUCAUGUUCAUGAAGGUCACCCGAAUCACUGAUGGGUUUUUAAUAGUUUGUGACAACUACGGCAGAGAGAACAAAGUUAAAUAUUGUUGUCGCCGCAAUACAAAGAUGGAUUUUUCUUCAAACUGUGGGGGUAGAUUUGGGGGUCCAACAAACAAAAUGUCCAUGAUAUCGCCACAAACGAUACGAAGAAUGGAGAGAAAAUCCAAAGCUUACAUUGAUCAAAAAAUGAUUCCCCAUCAUGUGAUGUCAUGAGGAAGUGACUAAGUUUGAAAAUGACGUCAUGCAUAGUUUUAAAAAAAUGCAGGUAUCUCUGCAUCCCAUAGAAUUAUACACACGACCUGAACCUUAUAUAGACUGAAAAAAAAUUGAUAAUCAUAUGGUAGGAAUGAUGAUGUCACCAUGAUGUCAGAAAAUUAUGUCACAGAGUAGUGACGCAUUAACUUUUGCAAGAUUAGAGACAGAUCUACAGUUUGCGGAUUAACCAUUAACCAACCUUCAUAUGGUAUGAAUGAUGUCAUCAUGAAAUGAAGCUAUUACAAUAUAAAGAAGUUAACAUCAACCUCCGUGAGGUCUGCAGCCUCUCCACUUAAAAGAUUUCCUAAACUAUGAUUUGACCUAAAAUUACUUCUGAAUCCCUGAACAUCUUCAUCUCAUGCUUUUUUUUCUUCUCCUCUCUGUCUAUAAUUUAUCUCUGUGUCUAUAAUUUUUCUCUCCCUCUCUGUAUGUUUAUCCUUUCCCACCUCUGUUAAAGUUUCAGCCACCUGACUGUAACAAUGACAAACCCCUGAACCUACCACGCUGCUGCUGCUGCUGCUGCCGCCGCCGCCGGAGAUCUGGUGGUGUAAAAAUAGAGCACAGAGAGGUGACAUCAUGUCCUGCGUACAAGAGGAAAAUCACAUACACACACACACACACACGUUUAAAACACAUGGAAGGAAGAGAAAGAGGCGGAGAGGGGGGGAAUCCAGUGAGAAAGAGAGAGAGAGAAAGAGAAGGAAAAAAAUCCGCCGUGGCAAACAUGACCAGACAAACUGUAAAUAUUAUUUUGUCUGCAUGUACCAACCAUCUGUGUGAUUGUCCGUGUGUGUGUGUGUGUGUGUGUGUUGGCAUGAGCUUAUCGCCGAAGAAUGUAGUGGAAAACUGAGAAACAGGAAGUCUCCAUCAGAGUGGUGAAGUUGGCACCGUCCAGACACACACACAGUGAAUUCUUUAAUAUACCGGCCAUCAAAAAGUUUACAUUAACGUGUCAUUCAUGCCGUGGGAUCCACAUCGCCACACAGACCUUGGCUGAACUUCUGCAGGCGCGACCUCUGUGCAAACUUGACUUUUUGAAAACUCUUUAAUCACAGACUCUUGGUUUUGCAGCCAGAAGAUUAACUUUACUCUCUUGAUUGGACUUCCUGGUGGUUUAAAACACAGAUUGGAGUCGGAAGAGUGAAUGUACAAAGUGUUCAUACGUAAUGUUCAUCGUGAUCCUGAGGUGCAAUCAACAUCUGUUGAUCUGUUAAAAAAUGUCCCUUCAGCUCGUCUGUUUCCUCCCACUGAUUCACUGAUGUAGAUUUACAGUUGGAAAUACAGUUAAGGGUCCCUCGUUGUUUAAAAUGUCAAGGCGACAUGAUGUGAUUGUUGGGGAAAGAAAUGACCUUCAAUUUAUUGAAGUUUAAAUAGCAUAAUGGAUGAGAGUGCACGGCGAACUACCGUAGAAAAGCUGGUGUAAGACGUGUGAUGAUUCUCUGUCGAGAGCAACACCUUCCACAUCACACGUGGUCAUUUGAUCCCUUGUUGUAUAAAAAUCAUUACUUUAGAGCAGUUUUUAAAGGCCACCGCCCCUCAACCCUGCGAGGCGUUCCAACCCCGACUCCCAACACUUGCUCAAAUCGAAAAAUAAAUACAAAUCAGUGUUUGAAACUGAGCAGUGAGUUCAGCCGAACAAUUUUUCACUCCACAUCGGCCCACAAGAGAAAAGAUAAUUGUUUUAUUUGGCUUUGCUGAGCCACAUUCCUGCCGCUGGAGCGAAGCCAACACGAGACAUCUGAGUCCGUUAGAGAGGCAGUUUUGAAGAAACCCCAGCAUCACAUCUGUCCCACGACAGGACAGAUGUGAUGGUUUUACCAGAAGCCCUGUUACUCGCUUUUCUCGAGUUACACACACACUGUUCCUAAACGAGCCUCCGUCCUCCCGUUCUCGUCCCUCGGUUCUCAGCAGCUGACAAAACUAAAACCCCUCGGCAGCCGUGUAUGACCAAUUUCCAUUUUCCAUGAAUAUCCAUGACCUAUUUAGUGUGUGUGUGUGUGUGUGUCCCAAUAGUCCCAAAUAAUUACCGAAGAUCCCAAAAUAACAGUAAAGUCUAAACUUAAAAUGAUCUUAUGGGACAUUUAAGCCUUCAGCGCCAUCUGUUUACUUCCAGACGGAUCCAAUGUGCCUAGAUAAAUCAACCUCACAUUCCCUUUAACAAAAUAUGAAUACAUAUAUUUAUCUUUUAGGGGAACAAGCACCAAUUUAACCGUUAAACCACGGGCUACAUGAACUCACAGAUGGGUAACAAAUGGAAGGGGAAAAAAACAUUACAUCUCUGCUCAAGUUCUGAUUUUUCAAUAUUUGUUGCCCACAUGUCACAUAUUGAUUGACAACUGUGAGCGGUGGCCUCUGACUCUGGCCUUCUCUGAUUGGUUAACAGGGCACAGCUCAUCAGAGAGUACCACCAGUGCUCAUCUACAGGGAGCUUAUCCUUGGCUGCAAUUCACCUAGAGGGUAUAGCUCUCGAUGAAUUAGAAUGAGUAGAAUAUUAUCAUAUCCUAACAUAUCUGUUUUGUAUGAUCAUCCCAUUGAUCAGACAGCCAGUCCUGUUCCUUACAGCUCUUUAUUUGGCUUAGCUUCCUUCUGUGCACGUAACACAAAGCAGCACAAAGGCCUUUUGUUCCUGUUAAUUUCACAAUCACCAAUCAAAGUCAACACACCCGAACACAUCGCGGCACGUUCGAAUGGCCCCCGCAGGUCAAAGAUAAAACACUGCCAAGCCCAUCAGCUAAUAUCAGCCUGUAUUUCACCACCACAUCACUCAGAGUGCUAAAAACUGCACAAGUCCAUUAAAAUUUUCCAUUUAAAAGAAACGUAACUACAAAAAGUUACGAGUUCACCACUGGGGAUCGGUGAAGAGGCAAAACACGGUGUGCCAGCAGCAUCCCAUUUACAAUUCAAAUCACGAAAGGCAAAAAAAAACCGUGAUGUGGACGCAGUCAAAGUGCAUAAAGUUUUAUGAGCCUGUGAUGUAUUUUUAUGGGAGUGAGCUCAUGGGGAUUUUUUUUUUUUUGACUCAAACUCCCUUCAGCCACCAGCGAAAGGUCAGUCACACAUGUGGCUCUUGGUUUUACUCCCUGUCUGUUGUGUGUUUCUGCGUGUGGGUUGGUUUUGCACCGUUACAGAUUACUGUAGCACUUCCAUAUGAUUGUAAUGAAAACCUGCAGCACUCACCAGCCAAUAUCCAAACAUUUUAGGUGAAAGUAGUACUUCACAGUGUCAAGCAUGUUGUUUCCCUCCAGAAACCUUACUGGAAAAUAUCUCCUUUCCCCCUUUUUUCUGUAGUGCUGUGUUCUUUACUUUAGCAGUUUAUGAAUUAUAACAACUUUCUUGCUACAAAACUCAAAACUCCUAACGCCCAAAACUCGGAGGAAUGACGUCAAUCGCACAAAACACAUGGAUCUUGGAGUUAUUUCAUGCCUGGCAGAUGAUCCAAAAUGUGCAUUACUUGCAUGGAUGUGAGCACACACACACACACACACACGAACACACACACAGAAGGACAAUGAAAAGUAGCAGUACAGGGAUUUUAAUUGACCUCUGUGAUGCAUUUUUUUCUUUCUUUUGCCUCAGCAGUUCCAUCAUCUGGAGAAAAAGAAGAAGAAGAAAGAAAGAAAGAAAAAAAGGAAACUUCCUAACUGGAAACAGAUUUCAGGAGCAGUCCAGACUUCCACAAGUCAGCAUGUAACUGUAGCUCACACACACACACACAGAAAUACAGCCAACGCCCCGUGGACAACUUAAAGUUGAAGGAGGUUUGGCUGUAGCGUCAGGAGGAGCAGCGGACCUCCGCGGACUUCUUACCGGGGUCAGAGUUGAUGUCUGCGGCCGAGGAGGAGCGUCUCUCUGGAGGCUGCGCGACUCCGCUUCACCGGGACCUUCGCGCGUUAUAAACGCUGCUCUGCGUCAAGCCCGCGACAAGGCUCCGACCGGAAGAAGAGUAGGCCCCCUUCAAAACAAAAUAUCACGCUUAAAAUGAAGUGGACUGCAGCUGCCAUCAAAAUAAAAGUCGUUAGUACUACGUCUCAUAAUCGCCAUUACAUUCGCUGUUUACAUGUAGCGUCACCGUCACUACAGCUAACCGUGUUAGCAAGGCUAGCAAGCUACCUGUUAGCUUUACCGAGCCACAUUAAAAGAUAUAUACCGGUACAUAUAUUUCCCAAUGUAUUUGUAUUGACAACAGCUAUAUAAAUAUACUUACUUUCACAAUGUUGAUAAAGAAGUUAUCAGUUUUGUUGGCGUAUUAAUAAUGGACGGCAACCGCUAUGACUGUGGGCGGGCCCUCAAACGGUGAUAGGUCAAUACUUGGAUGGAUGACGGGCGAAUCUUGUUAGUGAUGCGAGCGCUGAUUGGUCCAUCCUGUCAGAUUCUUGGUUACCAGCAAACACCUGGCUUCUCAGGCAGAUAGGAGUACAGACUUUUUUCUUCCUUUCAUAAAAAAAGGGGCAAACAUGUUGAA